rnacentral:rRNA from 1 species
UACGGAGGAUGCGAGCGUUAUCCGGAUUUAUUGGGUUUAAAGGGUGCGCAGGCGGAGGCACAAGUCAGCGGUAAAAUACGGGGGCUCAACCUCCGCCCGCCGUUGAAACUGGAGGCCUUGAGUGCACACAGGGGUGCCGGAAUUCAUGGUGUAGCGGUGAAAUGCUUAGAUAUCAUGAAGAACUCCGAUCGCGAAGGCAAGUGUCCGGGGUGCAACUGACGCUGAGGCUCGAAAGUGCGGGUAUCAAACAGG